rnacentral:rRNA from 1 species
UACAGAGGAUGCAAGCGUUAUCCGGAAUGAUUGGGCGUAAAGCGUCUGUAGGUGGCUUUUUAAGUCCGCCGUCAAAUCCCAGGCUCAACUCUGGACAGGCGGUGGAAACUACCAAGCUGGAGUACGGUAGGGGCAGAGGGAAUUUCCGGUGGAGCGGUGAAAUGCGCAGAUAUCGGGAGGAACACCGGUGGCGAAGGCGGUUCUCUGGGCCGUUACCUGACGCUGAGGAGCGAAAGCGUGGG